AUUUGAAGAUCGUUAGGUGAGUUUUGACAUUGGAGUUUGGUUAAUUUAGCUUAAGUGCUGAAUAUUUGUGUUGAUUGUGGUAUCUUGAUGGAAUUUUAGUGGAUUCGGAGGUUCAGAGCUGGAUUGAGGACCCUUGCUGGUUGAGAGGGAAUUCGGCUAAGUUUCCAGCAUCUCUGAGAUCUUAUUGCUGCCAGGAAUUAGCUUUAGAGGUGGGUGUAUCAUCGGUUUUUUACUCCUAAGUACAUGUUAGUCGACGUGUAUGAAUUGCGGCUAUUGUUAUCUUGUUGUAGCUCAAAUUCAUCGAUGAGUAUGAUAUAUAAAUCUGAAUUUGGAGUAUGCUUAGUAAUUAGAUAAAUUAUACAUGUCGGACUUGGAACCUGACUUAAGAGAAAACUAACGUUUUGACCUGUCAUAUAAUUUCACUACCUGAUUUAGCUCUAGGAGCCGUGAUGUGAUCGUAUCACCGCUGUUUUAGCGCGGUGGAUACCCAGGGUAGUUUAAAAUGCAUUUACGCUCGUGCUGGGAUGCCGAGCUUAUUUUUACAGUAGAGUCUAGGCUGUUUCGGAUUGUCGGGUGCCGUCGGGGUGGACGGUGGACCCAGAUUCCUAUUUUUGGUAUCAGAUGGUGCCGAGGGCACGUGGGUUCGAUUUCUAGACCUGUUUUGACCCUAGUUUCUUGACUUUGGCUUAUUAGAGCCUGAUUGAGCUCGACAGAGAUACGCUGCAUACUCGGUUGGGUAGCUUCCACGAGUGCCACUCCGGAGGCGGGCGCUGUGCUUUUGCAUUGGUGUCGUUCGUACAGGUUGGACUUGCUCUCCACGGAUUUGUUGGUGUGGAGGUAGCUGGUUAGUUGCAACCUGGCGGGACGGGUGUAUUCACAGUUCCAGGGACGGAUAUGAUUGCAGUCCCUAUUCGAGAUUGUGUCUGAGUUGACACUGUUCUACAGUUGGUUAGAUUAGAGCAUAAUAGUAUAGAGGCAGAUAGCUGUAGAUAUGUUCCAGCUCUCCUUACUAUUUCUUGCUUACCCUGUAGACUUAGUGAGUGGACCGAUGAGUUGAGGGCGGUACCCACUGAGGACUACUUUUUGUAGUAGUUCUCACGCCCAGUUGUUAUCACUGUUUUUGCAGAGCCGUCGUCUUCGGCUGCUGCUGUUGCUGAUCUUGAUCGUGGCAAGGGUGUCGCGAGUUAGAGCCCUUCUAGACGAGUCGCAGAGCUAGAGGAGCACCAGCUACAGGUAGUUGUAGUUUUUAGGUCUUUACAUACAGUUGUUGUAUCUCACCAGAGCGAGUAUUUGUUUACCUGGAUGACAUGUAUGUAUUGAACCACCGUUUUAUAUAUAGUUUAUUUUUCUAGCUGCUCUAUACUACUAUUUCUAGUAUUGUAUGAUUACAGGUACUUUUACUUCUUCGCUUCGUAUGCAGGAGAAAUGCCUAUGUAUAUGGCUGGUCUGUUAGCGAGCCCGGAAAAAUGAGUAAUCCGGGGCGUGACAAAAUUAUUUGUCACGGUUUUACAUUGAACCAAAUGGACCCUUACUUAGAGAGGGUUUUCUAAACCCAAUAUCUGUUUCAACUUGUUUUUCAAUAAUUUGAGAAUUGCUAUUUCUAGGCAAUCCAUUGAAUAAGCUUCAUACCAUUCUUUUUAGGAGGCAAAGUUCAAUUUCUCUAAGAACAGAUCCAUCUAGAGAGUAUAUAGUGAAGUGAUAAUACAUAGCGAUGUCAACGGGUCAAAUUCAUGAUGGAUUUUAAAAAAUCCAAAUCUGAACCUGACUCCAAACCUGAAACUCGAAUUUGAACCCAAACUUAAUGGAUUUUAAAAAUUCAUAUCCAAAUUCAAACCCGAGCACAAAUCUGAAAUCCGAACCCGAACCCAAAAAUCCAAAUCCGAAACAAUUAUUUCUCUUUCCGUAUUUCAAAAUAUAUUACAUUAAGUCUAAAUUUUUAAAAUAUAAAUUCAAAUAUAACAUCAAAUUGUUAUAUAUAUAGAGAGAGAGAGACAACAAGAAAUUUAACUUUUAGCAACAUUUAACUAGCAAUAUUUGACUAAGUCACACAAAUUAUAAAAUUUUCAAAGCCACAUUAAAUAUAUUCUAAAGUAGGAUCUACUAGAAUUAUUUUCUAUGUUCGGUAUUAUUUUACAGAAGUAGGUGGGUAAUGCGUUCCCUACUUUUAUUUGUCCUAAAAUGAAGCGAAGAAAACCUUUAAAAUCCACUGACAGGGAAUGGUUGGAUUCCAUAAGGUAGAGUUUAUAAAAUAUUUUAUUCAUAGACACAACCUACCAAGAGACACACAAUACAUAAUAUAUGAGCUUGCGCAAUUGAUAAGAUUGUUAUUGUAUGUAUCUUUAUAUCUUUAAUUUAAAAUAUUAUUGCAACAUUUUUUUUUAUCGUGAAAACGGUGAGUGUUAGAAAAAACCCAUAUCGAGUUAUACAGGAUGCAGUGGUGUCAAUUAACUUCUCACAAAUUCUUGAAUAAUCAACUACUCUCAAACCUUAUUAAUCUCAUAUAUUUUAUAAAUUAUUUUUUUAUAAAUUUUAUUUCGUCGUCCAACUGUCUCCUUAGUUAGUUACUGGUUCUUGAUAACAUUAUCUAUUUAGUGUACCUCUACUAAAGAUAACAUAUUACUCUCUUACAUUAUUAUGAAAGAGUUGUGUGUCUCUUCACUUUAAACUGGUCCACUUUUUUCUAAAAUAAGGAGAAUAACUUAGAUACAGAACGGGAUUAUUCAUAAUAGUGUUUUCACUUAGUCAAAUAUGGAUUUCUUAUCUUCUAUAUAUCUAAUAAUUAUCCACUAAUAUAGAGUAGAAAAAUCCUUUAUAUUAUGAAAUCUCCUAUCAAUAAUUAUUUUUGAUUUAUUAAUUUUUAAUGUAGCAACAUGAUAUAUUGGUGAGUGAGAAGAUGGAAUUCUAUAUAUAUUACUAUAUAGAUUGUAAUCCGUUUAUGUGCCUAUUUCAAUAUUUUAGUGUUAUUGUCUAGAAGGAUAUAGGAUUGGUAAGAUUGAAUCUAUAGUCUCUUCUUCAAAAAAUCUUUCUAUUUUAUAAGAAAUAAUAGAAUAUGUUAAAAAAUUUCAUCAUUUGUAAAAUUUUAAUAUAUGUUUUCUAGUGUCGUCAAAAUUUAUAGAUUCUAUGAUUGAGAGUAUUUAUUCUUUUCUGAUAUAAUUUAACGCUUAUUGAUAUUUUUCAUUGAUAUCACACGCUAAAUAAUCGACUCAAAUUUUAUUGUAUGUGAUAGAGUAGAAACCGGUGAAAUUGAAGCUCAUCACGCUUUAAAAAUAGGAAGCAGUACAAAGUUAUAGAAAUUGAAAGCCCUGUGGAGAUCAUUUGAUUAAUGCAGAUAUUAAUAUAAUAUAUAAGCGCUGGUAAAUGAUUUCAACCGCAUUUUUAAAAUAUAAUGAUUUAGUUUUAAGUAGAAUUAUGGUAAUAGCGGUAAUAUAUGAAUGAUGGUCUACUCUCUCGAUUUUACUUUAAAAUCUAUUCUUUCAUCAUAAUUAUUUAUUUUUUACAUUUAUGGAAGUUAUACCUUAUUUUAGUAAUAUAUUUAUAAAAUAUUUGAUAGGGUUGUAGUUAUUAUAUAUAUAACUAAAAUUGUCUUUUAGAAUUGUAGCUAAAAUUAUAUAUUAUAGAAAUAUUACAUAUUUUUAUCUUUUAUUUAUAUUUUUAUAUUUAGGAAAUAUCUAUUAUAAUUAUAUAAGAUUAUUAUAAUAAUUAGUGAGUAUAAAUAUAUAAACUAAAGUGUAAAAUAUCAAAUAGUCAUAUAAAUUAUUACGAUUGAAUCUCUAUUUAAGUAGAAUAAUAGAGCGAGCAUGACUCUCUUGGGCUUGUUGUUCGGGCCAUUAGUAAAGUGAAUAAAACGUUCGACAAAUAUAAUCUUUACUCUCUUUUGCUAGGUAGUUUAAUUUUUCUCUAACUCCUUUAUACCCAUGUUAGUGUGUUUUUAAUAAAGUUGUGUAUCAUAAAGUUAAGUAUCUCUAUGUCUUUAAGGUCUUCUCGUACUUUUUCAUUUUACAGGCUCUCCCUGCGGUUCCUUUUUCUCACUUUUAGCUACCCUGUGGGAGAAUAUAAUAAAUCGCACAUUUUUACUCAAAGCAUUUGUUUUGUACCUUUAUGUCUGGGUUUUACUUAUUGGAAAGACUUCAUACAGUACAACGAAUAAGAUGACUAGAUUUUCUUAUAUUUACUUAUGUACAAAGAUAUCAUAAUAUAAAUCCUAACUUAUGAGAGAAAACUUCGCAUUCAUUUCUUAUAAUGGAUCAAUAACUGAAUAAAUUAAAUUAUGAUUAUUGAUAAAAUUCAACUCAAUGUGCAAAUGAUUGUCUUAUGUUAUUCAUGGAAGAGUUUUUAGUUUUAAUAGUUGUUGCUCAUUUUGAACUAUCAAUUAAGUAUAAAAAUUUUACGUACUAUAAACUGUAGAAUAUUUUUAUUAUAGUUGAACUAUUUUUUAUUAAUUCAACUAUAAUAUAUUUGGAUUUAUCUUACCAAUAUACUUUACUAAUCACUUUUUAAUAUCACAUGUAAAUAUAAAAACUAGUGUAAUGAUAAAUUGCUGUAAACACAACUAAUAGGAUUAUCGAUAACUUUGAUUUACAUCUCUUUUAACACCUAAAUUCAACAAGAUACUAUUAUACGUGAUUGUUUAGUUAAUAUUUUGGUAUUAAAAAUGAAAAUAAAAUUAUGUAAAACCAUAUUAAGGCGUGGUUUAUUAUUAAUGUAAUUAGAUAUUUACUCUCACACUCACUAUUAUAUAAUAAAAAAAAUUCUAAGUGAAGGAAUACUCUAUCAUUUAUUAAUUUGUCACAAUAAAAUAAUAACAAAAAUCCAAUAUUUAUUUGGUCGCUUAUUCGCUCAAAAAUUACCGGUCCAAUCAUUUUUUCGGUUUUUAUUUUAAUACAAAAAUAGCAAGAUUAAUCGUCUGUCACCCGACAUUUUUUUCAGACAUACAUCGAGAGCACAAAUACAACUUUAAUAUACAUAUUUAUCUCUGCACACCCACUUUUUCUAUUCUCACAUUCUUGCUUCCUUUUUUAUCUACGUUACAUUUUUUUUUACAUACUCUUGCCUGCCCAAGCAGCUCUGGGUAUGAGACUCUGUAGGCUAAUUCUUGCUGCAGGCUAGAAACGGUCGUCUCGUCUCUCACCCUCUAUUGCUCUCGCCUCGGCCCUUGACCCUCGUCCAUGCCACCCCCCACUUCCUCCGCCCCUUCCGACCCCGCCGAAGCCCAACGCCGCGACUUUUUUUUUUUUUUGCAUUGUGUGUCUUUUUCUUUCUUCUCCGAAUCUUCAUCAAGCGCUACACACUUCUGUCACUCGAUCAGAUCGCGCUCUUCGUACAUUCACCAUAUACUCACCUCUCCCUCUCACCUUAUUUAUCUGCCACACACUACGAGACGGACAAUGUUAUAUGGGCCCACCCCUACAAGUUAAGUGUUUGGCUAAAAAGAUUUAGUCACAUUUGUUUACUGUUCAGUCUGUCGGGUCAAGACACCUGUACAGAGUGGUCACAUGUUACUUAAAGUGCUGAUACAUUAUAGCCCUUCGGAGCGGGUGGGUUCAGUCUUAGCACGCGUCCAGCUCAUCAGGCGCCGUAGCUUUUGAGCAGGAGAUUAGCUGCGAAUGCUAUCGGAGAAGGAUGAACAAUAUAAAAUUACGUAGGAUAAAGAUUGGAAAAAAACAUACAAAUAAUAAAAUUAUUAUAUUAUAAGAUACGGAUAGUGAACACUCAUAUAAUCUAAUGCACAUUCGUUAACUUACAAAAAAUACAUGAUUACACUGGUUGCUACUUAUUUAGAGAAUGAUAAACUGCCCUGACUUUAAGAUAAUACAUUAUAACUUCUUUCACUUGAAGUUUAUCUAGAAAUCAUUAUGUAUACAUGAAAAAUUCUUUUUCAUACUAUUUGUUAUAUCUUAACUGCAAUCACUUUUAAGUGACUAUUGUAUAACUGUUUCUACCUUUUAUCGCUCAAUAAUCAUGUAUUUUGGUUCUUCUUCAGCUGCAAAAUUCUGUAUAUUAUUCUUUUAUAGUUUCAAUGCAGUAAAAAUGCCGUGAUAAUAAUCAUUUUCUUGUUUAACGGUGUAAAGGCAUCAAGAGGAGAAUCCAAGAAAAGUCAAUUGAAUUUUUCGUUAAAAAAUUCUUUAAAAACUAUUUAGAACAAAGAUCCAUACUCUCGAUUUGUGAUCAUACAGAAAAAAAAAUAAACAUGUGUACUAAAUUAUCGUUUCUUUUAAAAUGAGGAUAUUCAUUUUCAGUCGUUCGAUGUUACCGCCCAUGAGAAUAAGGGAGAUGCACAGUAUCUAUUCCAAUAACAUAUUGACCAAUGUGCUUUCUCCUCUUUUAGCGACUAUUUUUUCACAAUAUAUUUGUUUAUUAUACCUAAGACACUUCAGUGAAGAGUAAGAGAUCAUUUUCAAAUGCGAACAAGUGAGCGAUAACAUCGCAUCGUCGAUUGAAAGGCUCCAUCAUCGAAACAAUGCAAAAUGAGAGAAGAAAAGUUAACAAUAGAUAUAGUCUUCUUCAGAGAGAUGUGUAAGGUUUCCUGUCUCUUUUGUUGCUCAACCUUAAUUUUCUAUGCCUAUUUAUUACAAAAAAUUGGUGCUAACAGAGGAGAAACAGCUCAUAAUAACUUCUUAUCUCUCUCUCUCUCUCACAUCUACUCACGCUUGUACCUAGUUUCUUCUCUCUCUUCUCUUCUGCUCUCUGUCUAACUAUUUCUUCUUUACUUGUUAUACACUAGAAAGUUGUAUAUAUAUAUAUAUAUAUAUAUAUAUAUAUAUAAUGUAAAAUAAAUUCGAAUUCGAAUCAGGUUCGGAUUCGGGUCGGAUACAUUCAAAAUUCAUAUCUGAAUCCAUAUCUGUCGGAUUUUUAUUUUUCAUAUCUAUAUCUAAAAUCAUAUUCGUUUAGUAUCGAAUAAAUUCGCUUAAUUUGAAUUUGAAUUCGAAUAAAAUCUCAGGUAUCCGUACAUACUGACAUCCCUAAUAAUGCAGAGAUCAUGCUCGGCCUUAACAUGAUCAGAGGAAUCAAACUAUAUAUAUAUAUAUAUAUAAUAUGGGGCCAAACUUACCACUUUUACCGGAACUAUUUUUAGAUGGAGUGAGGAAACAAACUACAUAGGGCCAAACCCAUCACUUUUACUAGAACUAUUUUAAGAUGCAGUGCCUGAAACAGUAGGGACAUUACUCUAGAAAAGGUGAGGAAAAGAUUAAAUGAUGCAGUCGGUGUCAGAAACACAAAGAGCAGGUACUAGUUAGCAGCUACUGGAUCUUACAUUCUUAUCCUGCAAAAUGCAUAUGCCAGCUAAAAAAUAUAUGAAAAACACUUCAGGCAAAGGCCCCUACUUUUUUUGGCUGGACAUCCCAUACAUUAAAGGUGAAUAUUUCUUUUGUAAAAUUUUUUAUUUUUUUAGAAAAAGGUAGUGCGAUAUCUGCUUUAUUUACUAAGUAAAAUAAAAUUGGUUAUAAUUGUAAGUGUCACGCCCCGGGGUCCCUUUUUGUUUGGAAAAACAGCGGAAACGACAGAAAUUUUUUUUUUUUUUUUUGAAACACCUGACCCCAGGGUAUGUNCGAAGUUACUAUUCACUUAAGUCAGACUUCCGGGUCGCGUAACUUCUCCGUUUUAACUCGUUUUCUCCUGAAAUUUGACGAGUACACUUAUAAUUAUGUUACACACAAAAACAUCGUCAAACAAAAGGGUUUAAUCACUCAAUCAAAAUCUCAGUUAUUACAGUAAGAUACCAGUUAACGGCCUCGAUAUAGCAAAAACAGAAAGGUUGAAAAGAAAAAAAAGUAGGAACGAGGAAAGGAACCGGUAGCUAAAGGCAGUGCUCGUCUCACACACUUAAGAGUCUUUGCUUAUCGUUUUACUUGUCGGGUUUGAGCAUAUAUCUCGAAAAAAGGAUAUUAUUUCUCUUCAGCCAAGUUGCCCACCAUAUGAUAUCUAAAGUGGUAUGCACCUUCUUUUUUUUACCUAUAUCUCUUGCGCAGCCAAAGCGGUAAGCCCUUUCUUUCCCUCUCGCCAAGUUUUUCAUAAACAUCUUGAGUGUAAUUUUGUUGGAAUUUUUUUACCGUCCGCAACACAAGUGGCAAAAAGUAUAAUGGUUGGUAUAUAAGAUUUCAAAUUCAAAACCUAGUUAAUUUACAUUUCUACCUAAGUUCAUUUAUUAAGAAAAAUGUGCAAAACGGAAAGCACGCUAACUUUCUCUCUUUAAAAAAAAAAAAACUUUUUCCUAAUGUUCCUUGAUGAUUUCAUGAAUGUAUGUUUGGCCAAUAAGAGGAGAUUAAUUCCUUGCAAAUGCUUCAUCUUUGCAUUGAUGCGCAAAACACAUUCUCUUCUCUUACCACAUUUUUAGAGAAAGGUAGAAACAAAUUUAGUUGAAAAUAUAAAAUAACAGACUUUGAACUUAAGAUCUCAGCUACAAACCAUCCAGUACUUUUAUUUGUGCUAAGGACAAUAUUUCUUCUUUUAAUACUAUUACCAAUAUAUGGAUACUAAUGAGGAGCCAUUAAUUGGGAGUUAUUUAACUGCACUAGUAUGAAACUGAGGUAGUAAAACUGAAGAAAUUAGUUCUUUACUAGGGCCUAUUUGAGUAUUUGAUUCAAAUGAAUAUAGCUUUUUUAGCUAUGUGGGUUGGUAGAUGCCAAGUAUAUAUUCACAAGUGAAAAUAAAUACCAUGGUAAUUCAAAAAAAUUUUAGAUCUUUAAGUUGUGUAAGUUCUACUUGUGGGUAGUGCAAACUUCUAUUUUUCGCUUCGGCUACUUGAUUGUACGUAAUUAUAACUGUACUACAGUUAUAACUAUAUGCAGAUUCAAAUUCUACAUUUGUCAUGGUGCAUUUGAAUUCAACUAUUGCACUUAUACUUACACGAGAAGACUCAACUGUAGCAUAGCAGUUGAGACUACGCCCAACAAUUUCAAUUGCAGCAUUUGAAGAGAAUAAUUUUAAAUAAUGAUAAGCUUAUCUCCCUAAUAACCUGUUAAAUAGAUUUUUUUUCUUUCCUACAUAGAGAAAAAUCUCACUCACCUCAUAAAUAAAAUGAUAGAAUUUCUUAAAUACACUUUUCAACCGUAUACAACCAAAUAAAUUAUUUAUAACUAUAGCACUUUCUACUACAUCCAACUAAACAGGAUAUACAUAAUUAUAAUUAUUAUAUAUUUAACUGCAUGUAUUUUUAGCUAUAGAAUAUUUAUAAUUACGAUUUACGCCGAAUCAAAUUAGAAAAAACUAUUUGAGAAGCCAGAAAGCAAACCAAUAUGCGCUUUUUACAAGAAGAUAACAACUUCUUCAAUAAACAAAGCGAGUUUGAUGAGAGAUGAGCAAUUAAACAAGUAGUAAAUUAAUUAUUCGCUAAUUAAUGAAAAGAUUCUACAUGAUUGAAAAAAAAAUAAUAAUAAUACAAUUGGUACUUUAAUAAUACCAUAUCUGUAUCCAUAUUUUUAUUCAGAUGCAAAUUGGGAUGCAGAUUUGUGCCGCAUGCUAAAUUUUUUUUUUUUACCAUAUUCUUUAAGAAAUUAUUCUGAUUUAGGAAUGUGUUGAAUUUAUAUUUCAAUUAAUAUUAUGCAAAUAAUAAUAUAUACCAAUAUGUAUAUAUAAAUAUAAACUAAUUAAAAUUAAUGUAAAUAAGACACACGGUGCAAUUGAAGACUCACACUCAUAUUCAAACUUUAUAAAUCUAUAUUUUAUUCAAUAAAAUAUAAUAUUUUAACAAAUAUGAAUGCAAUUGUAGCAUAAUUUAUAGCAAGAUAAAUUUAAAACAUAUUCCUUUUAUCUUUUAGAGUGAAAACAGUCAAAUACGUGCGGACUUGUUAAAAAAACCUUAGGAUAUAGAGAAUGUGAUUCCGACUACUAUACUCUUAUUAUAAGUACAAUCGUCUUCGUAUUCAUAAGUUAUUUUCAAUAAUAAAACUUUCAAAUCAACAAUCCAUAUAGUUAAAUAUUAUCUAAAGAUUUUGGAACUUUUAGAAAUUAAAUUUCAUAAUUUUUAGACAUCAUCAACCUUGCGAUCAAAAUUUUAAAAAUUGAUAAUUUUUAACGGCUGGUAUGUGAUACUUGCUAGUUUAAUGGUACAAAAGAAUCUAUUAAAUUACUUGAAUUUUUGAUAGAAAUUUCUAUUCACUAUCUAAAUAAUUAAAUAUUAGUAACUCCGAUCUUAAAUUGAAAUAUCAAAUUCUCUAUUUUUGAGGAAUCGUUCGAUUUUAGUGAUUCAUUUUAUCUCCAAUUGAUAGACUUUAUUAUAAUUUUAAAAAAUUAAAAAAUUUAUUUUUUAAAAGUUUUAAAUGUUCUAAAUUGUAUUUAACAGUACGGAUAAUCAAUUCGGAAGCUCUCUAAUCGAAAAUAAUUUAUGAAUACAAAGAACUCUAUACUUAUAAAAGGAGUUGAGCUAGAUUACUAUCGAUAGCAAACGAUCUCUGUUGCCAUCCAUUUGUUUUCGAUGAUGGACCCUUCAAAUUGAUGAUCGUCACCGUUGAACAUGAUCUAUACCAUUUGAAGUAUUUAGAAAUUAAAUUUCAUACAUUUUCGAUAUUGCUCUCUUAUCUAUCGAGUGGACACAAAAAUGAACGGCUGAAAAUGAAUAUUCUUAAAAAAAUGAUGAUAGGAGUCUUGUAAUCAAGAUCAAGAGUAUAGAUCUUGUUUUAAAUAGUUUAUAAAAUUUUCUAACAAAAAUUCAAUUGAUUUGGAUAUCUUUAUGCCGUUAAACGAGAAAACGCUUCAUUUCGACCAUUAUAAUUACAAAUUUUGAAACACUUUAAUCAUUAAACAAAUGAUGUCGAAAAGAUUUGAAAUUUGAUUUCUAAACACUUCAAGUAUUAUAGAUCAUGUUCAACAGUACCGAUCAUCGAUUUGGAGGCUCUAUCAUCGAAAAUAAAUGGGUGGCAACGAAAUCCGUUUGCUAUCGAUAGUAUUCUAGCUCAACUUCUUAUAAAAGUAUAAUAUAUGUAGCCUUAUUUUAGAAAACAUUAAAUUUUGAUAUUCAUGUUCGCACGCUAUGGAAUCUAGCGUCCCAAUUCCUGGAUACUACACAUAGUAAUAAAUUUUUAUUUUUUUUAGAGCAAAGAGAAGGGAACUGCUUCCCCAUGUGGUUCCCAUGCUACAUAAGGAUAAACCUUAUUUCUCACUCCUCGAGAUUCACGCCACCAUGGGAAAAAGGAGGGUGACUUUUUUUGUGUGAGGAGGAACCUCAAAGCCCAAGAAAUGUUUAAUUAAUUAGGAGCAAACCUAUGUGGUUUUUUGUCAACAAAAUACACUUUUAAUAACAAUUUAAAAUACAAGGGCUUGCAUGGGGAGCCAAUGUGGACUCUGUGAUUUGGUUUCCGUACUUUAAUAACGAGAACAAUUUGUUGGAAUAAAUACCGCAACGAAAAUUUGAUUGUGAUUAAAAUCUAACUAAUUUUGUGAUAACAAUAAAUAAAUCAACUUACAGAUAAACGCAAAUAUUUCAAUAAAGAUUUGAUUUUAUCCGGAAGCGUAUAAGGCACUGUCCUAAGGUCUAUUCCCGUCCUUACGUGCGGGAUUAACCGAAAAUAACACCCCACAGCACGAUUGUGAAGGAGGUUGACGGAGAUUCUCAACACCCAGUGGAUAAGGGAAAUGUUUAAAAAUAAAAGAUAAAAGAAUAAAUGGAUAGAGAUUAACCCAUGAUCAAAAAUCUUUACUGCUUGCUCUAUCUUGAGCGAGGAGAAAAAGAAAAGGUAUAAAAAAGGAAAAAGGACUUCACGCUCUUUCUCAUUACGCUGAGAAAGAAGCGUAACCCACGCAACGAAACGCAAUUCCGUUUUGCAAAAGAAACGGAACGGGAAAAAAAUAUCUCGUUGGUUUUUUUCUUACUAAGAAAGAGAAUAAAAUAAAUAAAUAAAUAAAAUAAUAAUAAAUAAUAAAUAAUAAAUAUCAAUAAAUAUUAAAUGGAUUUAAAGUUCAAAUAAAAUAAAAUAAAUUUAAAUUCAAAUUUUGAGUUUUUCUCCAACACAAUUUAAUGCGUAAUUUGCAUGAUUGGACUUGUUAAUAUAAUAAAUGAUUCGGUGACAACACAUGCUUUACGAAAAAAUUUCUUUGGUGAUUGCAUGUUAUUAAAAGAGUUUGAUUUUAGCUUAUUGUAAUGCUUUAGUUAUUAUGAUUUUGUAAAAUAGUGUAUUUCACCAACACGUACGUACGAUAAUUUAUCUCAAUCUGAUAGCAUGACUCAUAGACCAAAUGUAUCAAACAUAUGCUUCAUCUUCUCGGAGUAUGACAAAUUAUCUAGCAGGUGGAAAACAAUUUUUUUUUUUGACAAAUCACGGCUUCUUAACACUUAUAAGGAGCUAAAUUUAAACUCCUAAAUUAUAAUAAAUUCUUUAUAUAAGUUAUCACAACUUAUCUGCCAUCCAAACAAGUCCUAAAUGUUUAAAAAAAAAAAAAAGGUUAACCUUCUUUUAUCAGAUAAUCAUAUCAUAAUUGAUUCACUAACUUAAGAUGCUGCAAAUAUGAUUAAUUAAAUAUAAUUUUAGAAUAAAAUCUUUACUUUUUUACUGGUCAACAACUAAAAUAUAAUAUAUAUGAAAGUUUAGAAACUCUGAAUUAUUUUUAAAUUAAUAGUGUGGUGACUGAAUUGUCACAGGGACAUAGUAAAAGGGCUAUCCAUAUAUUUUACCCUAAUUACGCACCUUCUAAAAUGGAAAAUGUCCAUAGAAUAUUCUACCACCCAUAAAUGUAUAAACGUCUAAUGUUCCCCCGUACACACGCACUGGUCCCUCUAACCCUAAUCCCCAAUUAAUAAAAGGAAAAACAUAUAAAACUUUCCAAACUAUAAAUCAUUUCAAAUCAAGUAUCCAAUCUCUCAAAAUUUUAAUUAUAUUAUUUAUUUUUUUAAUUUACUUAAUUUUAGUCCGUUAAUGAUAUUUUGAUUUUAUUUAAGCUAAGUAUAUAUUUUAAUAAAUUUAUAGUUGUAAGAAUUAUGUGAAGCAUAUUAAAUCUGCAAACGUAAACUAGGUAUUCAAACUUUUAAGUUAAAAUGCCGUUAACUGAUUCAUAUCAAACGAAUUAAAAGGCUGCAUAGUAAAAUCAAUAUUUUAAAAGGUUAAUUGGUUAAUUUAAAAUGAUUGAUAGUUCAUGCAAGUAACGUACUUUUUAUGAGACGCCGAAUAGUACUAUAUACAAAAUAUAGUAAGGUUAAAAUUCUUAAGCCGACUUAAGUAUUUUGGGCAGUGGCUAAUCUCAAAAGAUUGAGAGAGUUAAGCGUGUUACGAUGAAAGUAAUUUUAAGAUGGGUGACCAAUUAGGAAGUUGAGGCAUCACAGUUAGUAUCAGAGCCAAUUAACAGCCGGAAGUGUAAAAUGAGUCUCGGCUGAGUCAGAGUUAUACAGCGGAGAGAACGAGACUCUCAUACUAUUGACUGUUGCGGGUAGAGCACGGCUCCCCACAAGAUGGGGAUGAGUCUCAUAUCGUCUGAUACUUGUGAAUUUGAACCUGACAAGAACGUCAGGGUUUAAAGAGGAGGAGAAUGUGAGACACCGAAUAAUCUUAUAUAUAAAAUAUAAGAUGGCUAAAACUCUUAACCCGACUUAAGUAUUUUGGACGGCGACUAGGCCCGAAAGAUUGAGAGAGUUAAGAGUGCUAGUACGAAAAUAAUUUUAGAAUAGGUGACCCAUUGGAAAGUUGGAGCGUCACAUUUUCUAUCUAAAUUUUAUCAAGCAACUUGGGUGUACCACAAUGGGGUCACCGAGAGGGGAUAAAAAUGUAUGGAGACCCCCUUAACUAUAAAUAUACUAUUUUUAUUGACAACUCUUUUAGUUUUUUUUAAAAUUUUUAUUUACCAUAAAUGUAAUUCAAACUAUUAGAGAAAAACUUCCAUUUUUAGACUAAAAUUAUUUAAUUCUAAAAAAAAUUAAAAUCAAGGAGAUGUUGAUCACAAAAUAAAAAGUUGAGGGUACAUAUUGCUUAUUUGAAAGUGACUUGAGAGUGUCUCAAUGCAUUUUUGCCUAAUAGAGGGAGUUAACCAUCUUAUUGAGCACCUUUAAUUGGGUAAAUUUUAAUUUACCCACCUAUAGUUUAGCGUAUUUUUAUUUUAUCAUAUUAUGGUUUAGAAAGAUAUAUUUAAGUAAUCUUAGAAAGAUAUACUUAAGUACUUAACUACUUUAUAAUUAUUUUUUUAUGUCAUUAUAUGAAACUUUCACUAAACAAGAUAGCAAAUUAAGUGAUAAAAUUUAAAAAAUCAUAGAGUAGUAAAAUACAUAUUAAAGAAUGGCAAAAUACUAUAUCGUACCUCCAAUUGGUUUGUAAAAAUAUCAGCUUGCUUAUAUGUCGUUUAAUGAUAAAUUUUUAUGAAUAAAACAAAAAUAACAUCGCAGAAUAAUUAAGUACGACUUUCUAAACUACCGGCGGCAAAUUGAAACCGCGCCAAGCGACAGGGGGUUAAAGUAAAGUUUACACUAAUAAAUUAUAAGGAGAAUAAUAAACUGAGGGAAAAUUGGUUUUCCUUCUACUACUAGAUACACGUUAAACUAUAGAGUACUAAACUAAGAAAGUGCGAAACCACAGAGGUGGUAUUUGAAGUUUACCCUUUCUAUUAAGUAUACAUUAUAUAUGAGCAUUUCUUAUACAUUCAGUGUAUAACUUUUUUUACACUAUGAAAUUUUAAUUUUGUUAUAUUAAUAGGGUACUAAAGUGAGAAAAUGAAAACACAUGAUACUAACUUUGUAUACUUUAAACCACAUGGCACUAAAGUGAGAACGUGGAAAAGUACAGAGGUGGUAUUUGAAGUUUGCCCUUUUUAUUAAUUAUAGAUUGUAUAUAAGUAUAUCUUAUACACUCGGUGUACAAUUUUUUUUUAUACCUAAUGAAAUUUUAAUUUUGUUAUAUCAACUAUUAAAAAAUAGAAUUGGUUCAUGCGCUAAAAUUUUACACUUGGUAUAGAAAAAAAAAAAAAAGAAUUCAAAUUAUAUAUUGUAUAUGAGAAUGUUUUAUACACUUGGUGUAUAAUUUUUUUUUACACCGUAUGAAAUUAUAAUUUUCUUAUAUCGACUAUUAAAAAAUAAGAUUGGUCUAUACGAUAAAAUUUUAGAGUUGUGGGAAAGAAAAAAAAGAAAGGGUGUUGAGUGGAAAAAAAAAAAAAAAGAAGAAAAGAAUGUUGGUGAAAGCAAAGAAAAAAAGAAAGGGUGUUGAGUGGAAAAAAAAAAAAAAAAAAAAAAAAAGAAGAAGAAAAGAAUGUAUGGUGAGAGCCCCCCCCCCCCUCAGGAGGCAGCCGUACCCCCUUGGGUUCUUCUUCCAUAAAAUGAAAUUUUAAUUUUGUGUAUCAACUAUUAAAAAUAAAGAUUGGUUCAUGCGCGCUAAAAUUUUACAUUGGUAUACGAAAAAAAUAAAAAAAAAUUCAAUAUAUAUUGUAUAAGCAUAUUUUAUACACUUAGUGUAUAAUUUUUUUUUACACGUAUGAAAUUAUAAUUUUAUUAUAUCGACUAUUAAAAAUAAGAUUAGUCUAUACGAUAAAAUUUUACACUCGGUGUAAGCAAAGAAAAAAAAGAAGGGUGUUGAGUGGAAAAAAAAAAAGAAUGUAUGGUGUGAGAGAAAGAGAGAGAGAGAGAGAGUUAGAGAGAGAGAAAAAAAAAAAAAGUGGGGUGCCCCCCCCCCCCCCCCCCUCAUUGCUUGAGGAGCGCAGCGUCCGCUUUUGGGUUCUUCUGUCAUGUAUAGAAAGAUGGUGAUGGUUUGGUUUUCUCUCUCAAAUAAAUUAAAAAAGGAAAAACUUCAAAUACCCUAUUUGUGGUUUCGCAAUUUCUCACUUUAGAAUCAUGUGAUUUAAAAUAUAUCAAGUCAUAUAGUACCUUGUAGUUUCGCACUUUCUUACUUUAGUACUCCGUGGUUUAAAGUGUGCCAAGUUAGUAUUCUGUGACUUUAUUUUUGUAUCAAAUUAGUAUCCUAUGAUUUCAUUUUUCUCUUUUUAUUAUUCAUUUCGGAGUGUUUUUUUCAUUAAAUCAAUGACAAAGUUAAAACUAAAGGGUACUAAAAUGAAUAUUCGAUAAACCUAGGUAGGGUAUCUGAAGUUUUUUAUAUAUAACUUAACGAAAUAUUAAACCACAUGGUACUAAAGUGAGAAAGUGCAAAACCACAGGGUACUAAUUUAAUACAGUUUAAACCACAGGGUAUUAAAGUGAGAAAUUGCAAAACCACAGAGUACUAAUUUGAUACACUUUAAACCACAGGGUGCUAAACUGAGAAACUGCGAAACCACGGGGGUGUUUGAAGUUUUCCCAUUAAACAAAGGUAAUGGUUUGGUUUGGACCACUAACAAAACAUUCCUUAAUAGAUUAAAUAAGGAGAAAACAUUAACCAAAAAAUAAUCCUCCUGCAAAGAAUCUAGAGGUUAAACAAAAGAAAAAAUUUCAAAUAUCAUUUAUGUGAUUUCACACUUUUUCACUUUAGUAUUCUAUAUUUUAAAAUGUAUCACUUUCGUAGCUUGUGAUUUUAUUUUUCUCUUUCUGUUAUCUCUCCACUAAUUUUUUUGUUAAAUCAGUGACAAAAUUAAAGCUAAAGAAUGUUAAAGUAAAUAUUGGAUAAACCAUAAGCAGGAUAUUUAAAAUUUUUUGUAUAUGAUUUAACAAAAAGUUAACAGAGAGGGUGAUGAAAAGAGAAAAAUGAAACCACAGGAUGCUAAAUUGAUACACCUUAAACCGCAGGGUACAAAAAUGAGAAAUUGUGAAACCACAUAAAUGGUAUUUGAAGGUUACCCUAAAUAAAAAGGUACAUAAAAUAACUAGUGUUAAAUAUAGAAACAUUAUUGUUUACUGGUUUAAGUUUUUGAAGAAUACUUAUUUUUUUAUAUAAUUUUACAUAUUAUCAAAGUAUGAAGUUUUAAACUCGGAUUAUGUCAGGCUCCUAUUUUUUUUAUUUUUUUUCACUUAUUUAACUCAAGUCUAAUCUAAACAUAAGAAAGAGUGUUAAAUAUAAAGAGAUAAUUGCCUAUAUACUCCUCGUGCGUCUGGAAAUAUCCGAUCUACCCCUAUUUUUUUUUUCUUUCUAAAAUGUCCCUCAUAUGUUCCACCGUUAUUUCAAAAUACCCCAGCAGUUAUCCCCUGUUGCUUAACUCAGGUUAAACAUCGGUUAAAUGUGUACUAGAGUUAAAACCUAUAUAAAAUACCUAUUUUACCCCUACCUUAUUAUGCUAAUGUCUUAAGUUAUCCUCUUUCUCUCCCAACUUGAUCGCCGGCUCCUCCGCCUCCACUUCGCCUCAUCUCCUCCCAGACCAUGGGUGAGGAUGACGCCCGCCGCCUCCCAGACCACAGGCGGGGACCUGCGGCGGCGCGGCGGAGGAGGAGGAGGGGUGCCGCGAUGACGCGGCGACGCUGCGGCUGAAGCUGGCGACGAUGGCGGCGAUCCUGGUGGCAGGGAUGGUGAGCGUGGCGAUCCCGUUGGCGGCGGAGGAGGAGGAGGGGUGUCGCGAUGACGCGGCGGCGCUGCGGCUGAAGCUGGCGGCGAUCCUGGUGGCGGGGAUGGUGAGCGUGGCGAUCCCGUUGGCGGCGGAGGAGGAGGAGGGGUGUGGCGACGACGCAGCGGCGCUGCGGCUGAAGCUGGCGGCGAUGGCGGCGAUGUUGGUGGUGGGGAUGGUGGGCGGCACCUCCUGAGCACGAAGAGCGGCUUCUUCGCCCUCGCCAAGGCCUUCGUCGGGGCGUCAUCCUCGCCACGGGCUUCGUCCACAUGCUCCACGACACCAAGGCCGCACUCACCGAUCCCUGCCUCCCCCGCUUCCCCUGGCGCCGCUUCUCCUUCUCCGGCUUCUUCGCCAUGGCCGCCGCCCUCGCCACUCUCGUCCUCGACUUCCUCGCCACCUAGUUCUACGAGCGCAGCGGAGGACGACGAGGAGCACUCCAUCAUCACGGCGGCGCCGGAGCCACUCGUGGACGAGGACGAGGACGAGGGCUCCGCCAAGGGCGGCGACGCGGUGCACAUCGUCGGGAUGCGCGGGCACGCGGCGGCGCACGGCCACAGCCAACACCAGGAGUAUAUUAGAAAGACUUAGAAACAUAAAAAGAGUCUAUUGGAAUGGGCAAAAUGGUAAUUUUUCAAAAAUAACGGUAACUCACUAACGGAAUUUAACUCCAGCGGUAUAUUAGAAAGACUUGGAAUAUAAGAAGAAUAUUUUUAACAUUAGCCUUCUAAGAGGGGUAAAUAAGAAAAUCGAAAACUUUUCAGAUGUAUAUAGGCAAUUGUCCCAAAUAUAAAAAUAUCAUUCUCUACGGGUAUAGUGGUCAGUAAUAAUUUGGUACAAGCGCCUCACGGGCCCAAUUACUGUGAAUUGGCCAAACUAUGUCAAAGUCACCCAAUCACAUCAUAUCAUUUGGAUAUAAGUAGUCCAAAAAUGCCGCACGACUGGACUUUCAUAUUGCUUAUUAAAAUAUUUUGAGCCUAGUUCAAACCCACAUAAGGUUAAAAAAUGAUAUAUUUAAUAAAAUUCAUUCCGCCUAAUAAUUUUAGUACUUAGAUCGGAUCUACUAAUAUAUAUCUAUUUUUUAUUUAUUAAUUAAUUAUAUCAUAUGAACAAUUAACAAUUUUUUUUUAUUUUUUUGAAAAUAAUUUGGCACAAGCACCUCACGGACCUAAUUAUUGUGAAUAGGCCAAACUACGUCAGAAUCACUCAAUCAUAUCAUAUCAUUUAGAUAAGUAGUCCAAAAAUGUCGGAUGAUGGGACUUUCAUAUCACUUAUUAGAAUAUUUUGAGCCCACUUCAAACGCACGUAAGGUUAAAAAAUGACAUAUUUAAUAAAAUUCAUUCAGCCUAAAUUUUUUUAGUAAUUAGAUCGGAUCUACUAAUAUAUAUCUAUUAUUUAUUUAUUAAUUAAUUAUAUAAUGUGAAAGUAGUUAUUCACAUAUGAACUCUUAAGAAUUUUUUUUAUUUUUUUUAAAAAAAAUCAUCUUUUAUUAUUAUUAAUUUUUUUUGGAAUAUCCAUAGGCAUUCUAUUUUAAGAGGCAAUGCAAAGCAGAGACCCAAUACAACGAACAUAGAAAAUUAACCGCAAAACUAUAUAGCAGAAAAAGACAAUGAUACAAAUAAAAAAAAAAACAAAAAACAAUAAAGAGGAAAAUAUUUGUGUGGGUCCCUUAACCUAAUCAACAACUUUAAUCAACAAACUAAAGUUAUUUCAAAUAUAUCCAUAUAGUUAAAUUUUGUUAGUAAAUUAUUAGCGAAAGCCGUUAUUUCUGUAAAAUUAUUAUUUUGUCCUUUUAAAUAUACUCCAAAUUAAAGACAGAAGAAGUAUUUUGAUUUUUUAAAUUUUGGUAGACAUUUAACUCAUAUUUAAUCCGAAAUAACUUAACGGAUGAUAACUGCGGGAGUAUUUUUGAAUAACGGACGAAUAUAAGAGAAGUAUAUUGAAAAUUAAAAAAAAGCAGGAAUAAAUUAGAUACUUCGGAAGUUUUGAAAGGUAUAUAAGCAAUUAUCCUUUUUAUUAAUGAACCUAGAUAUAAAACUGAGAUGACGAGGUCUCGAAAAAAGAAGAAACGAAAAAUAAACAAAAGAAGAAAAAAACUAAAGAUUAUAAAAUAGCUCAAUUGAAAUAAAAUGGAGGGAAGAAGAAGGGAACAAGAAAGCUCGGUUGCAUAGUGAAGGAAAGAUUACCCAAACAGAAAAAAAAUCAGAAAACACUUCAUAUGCUUAAUUUACUGUGAUUUACUCUCUUUUUGCAUUAGUGUUAUAUAGUUUUAAUUAGGGAUGUCAGUGGGUAUGGAUACCCAAAAUAUUAUCCGAACUCGAAUCCGAACGGGACGGGUUUACCCAAGCUAAACGGGUAUGGAUUCGGUUAUGGAUAUAGAAAAUAAAAACCCAACGGAUAUAGAUACGAGUAUGGAUUUUGUAUUUACCCGACCCGAAUGCGAACCUGAACCUGAAUAAAUUAUAUAUAUACAUAAUUUAUUUUUAAUUAUUUAUAUAAUAUAUAAAAUAUUUAAUAAUUUUUUAUCCCUUACAUUUUUAUCCAACGGUAUGGAUUUUUAAAACCCGUUGGGUUCAGAUCCGGAUCCGAGUUCGGGUUUCGGGUUUUUGGUCGGGUACGGAUAUGGGUAUGAAUUUUUAAAACCCGCCGAGUUCGGAUUUUAAUUUGGUUUUCAUGUUCGGAUUCGGGUUUUUAAAAAUCCAACCCAAACCCGACCCAUUGACAUCCCUAAUUUUAAUUAUAUCACUGAAGUAUUCUGUGAUUUCUAUUUUAUUUUUGUUAACCCCCAUUAUCUUCUCCGUUAAAGUGUCAUAAAUAUGACCAUCAAGAAUGUCCAGCAAAGUUCGAUAAAAACAACAUAAGAUCGUCUAUGAAUGAUGAAUGUUAAGCCAUAAGAGGGUCCUUAGUGGGACAUUCUUGACAAUAAAGUGCGAGCACAUGGAAUUUUAAUAAAAAUAAAAAUUACAGAAUACUUAAGUUAUACAGCUAUAAAAUAUAUAGUAAAGUGAAAAAAAUAAUAAACUACAGAAGAAAUAUUUAAAGUUUUUUCAAAAAAUUAGGAAAAAGAUUCCGCGAUAUUGCCUGAAUUUUGGCAGAUUGGACAUCAUCUUUUAGUUGUAAAUAGUGAGUUUACUCUAGUCGUGACUAUAAAAAUUAGGGUAAAUUAUACUUUUGGUCCUCAAAUUAUGAGGCGCAAAACAUUUUUGUCCUCAAAUUUGAAUUUAUGGUAAUUUUUUUUACUUAAAUUUUAGAGAUCAUUGCAAUCAAGUUCCACAAUCUAAUUUAGUUGGCUAAAUAUUAAUAAAUUUGUUAAUAUAGAAGUGAUGUAAAAAUAUUAUGAUUAAUAAUAUGACAAUAAUUAAGAUGUCGCAUUAUUUCUAUAUCAACAAUUUAUCAAUAUUUAGUUCACUAAAUUGGAUUGAACGAUUUGAUUGCAACAAUUAAAAACUCUACACACUCAACUUUAGGAUGGAUCCGUGUUUGGAUACUUAAGUUAUUAGCGUACCCAUCAGCUCUGUUUGAGCAGAUCUAGGUAAUGACUAUCUGUGAACGACCUGCUUAAAUAUCCGGUGUGAAUCUGGUGUAAAUCGAGUAUAUAUUGGGUACAUAUAUCCGUAUGCAUAUUUAUGAUAUAAAACACUAAUAUUUAUUACGUCAUAAGUUCAAAAUAAAAAUACAAAAUUUGUAAUAGUUAUACAUGUAUUAAUUUCUCUAAAAUACAUAAAGCCACCAUCUAAACACAUACAACAAUAUAAUAAAUAAAAAAAUUAUAUUAAUAAGUCCAAACACAUAUAAUACAAUUACAUAAAACACAUACAACUAAUCAGAUAAUGCACACCAUAAAUCUAAAAUACAUGCACCUACUACAAUAUAGUUAAAACACAUACAAAAUAAGACAUAUAUAUUACAGUGAAGGAAUAAAUAUCAAGUUUUUUUAAAAAAAAUUCUCAUUGCCUGUUUUGAUGGUCAAUUAUUUUACCGGAUCAAGGUUUGGCGGGUCCGGGUUUGGCUCCGAAUAUGAAUUAUUAUUUCAGCUCAGUACUCCGGGCCGUGUCGGGCUGAGUUUUUGCAGCCCGCCAGGCCCGGCAUGGCACGGCCCAGCAUUUUAAAUUGCUAGGCCUGCCGUCCUGGCCACCUGGGACUACAUGUAGGAGGAAUUCUACACUGCCACACUUGCACCACAUCAUCAAUAACAAGUCAAUCACAUUUCUUUUUUUUCAAACAAAAGUACAAUAAAAAUAUUUUUUUAUAAUCAUGAUCGGACAUAUAUUUUUAAAAGAAAAUAUUUGAUUGGCUUGUUACGCCACGUCACCAAUAUACCCGUUGCAUUCUAGAAUUUUUCUACAUGUAGGGUGCUGUUGCCUGAUGGGCUGCUGUAGCCUAAUGGCUUAAUCUUAGAUAGGGAUGCAAACGGGGCGGAUCUGGGGGUGGGAGCCACGCCCCGCCUCCCCCACCGAAUAGCAAAAUCCAGCCCUGCCUCACGCUCCGAAUCCGUGACGAGUUAAAAAAUACAUCCCAUAAUUCGUCCCGCCUCGUAAGCAGCCUCCCGCCGGCGCCCCGAAUCCGCCCCGCCAACUAAUAUUUUUUAUAAAAUUAUAAUAUUAUUAAUAUUUUAUAAAUUAUAAAUUAAUAAUUUUUAAUAAUAUUUUAUAUAAUUUAAUAAUAUCAAUUAUAAAAAUCAAAAAUAUCAAUUACAAUUCAAAACAAAAUUCAAAAGUUUUCAAAUACAUUAGAAAUGAGAGUACUAACUUAUUUAUAUUUUGAACUUUUUUUGCAAAUACAUUAUUUUUUAGGACUAUUUUUUUAAAAAUAUAAAUGAUUUUUGGGGCGGAUUCGGGGCGGAUCAUGGCGGGGCGGAUUCGGGGGCGGGUCAAAAUUUCUCCCGUUUCCUGCCCCGAAUCCGUCUCGGAUCGUAAAAUUUACCCCGUUUUCCGUCCCGAAUUCGUUUAUUUUCUCCCGUUUACUGCCCUCGUCGGGGUCGAUCGAGGCGGGAGCUCCACCAACCCGGAUCCGUUUGCAUCCCUAAUCUUGGAGGAUGGGCCCAACGGCAUUUAAGUAGUUGGGUCCCAUUUUUUUUUUUAAAAAAAAUACUUUUUUAUUUUUAUUUUUUCAAAAUAAGGGUCAAAAAUAUUAAAAAAAUAUUUUUUUAGUCAAAAUGACGACAAUGCCCUCACUAACAUUUAAAUUUUUAACGGUUUAGAGAGCGAAUUUGGUCAAAAAUUAAAAAAAAAUUAUAUUAUUUAAAAAAUUAAUUUUUUUACAUUUAUAAAUACUCCUCUAAAUCUCCAAACUCAUCACCAACAAAAAUUAUUCAUUCAUUUAUCUCUAAGCUUUAAAUUUUAUAUAAUAUUAAUUAACAAUGUUAAAAAAUAAAUUUAUUGUUAGUGUUUAAUUUUUUUAAAAUUUAUGAAUUUUUUUUAAAAUAGUUGGAUAUAAUUAUGUAAAUUAAAAACUAUAAAUCAAAAGUCUAUAAUCUAAAAACUACUUAUCUCUUUUUCUUCAAAAGAUAAUUUAAAAAAAAAAAACAAAAAGGGCAAUUAGGAAGAAAUUCCCUAUUACUAGGCCGGCACGAAGCCCGGCCCGGCCCGGUUCGUGCCGGCUGGGUCAGGGAUCCAGGCCGGGCCUUCCACUCUAAAUAAACGGGCUGGCCCGGUCCGGCAUGGGUAAUUUGGGCCGUGACCUUUUAUUUUUGGAUAAACUUCAAAUGCUAUUACUGUAGUUUCGCGCUCUUACACUUUAGUAUCUUCUGAUUUAAAAUAUGUCACUUUAGUAUCCUGUGGUUUCAUUUUUCUCUUUUCGUCAGCACCUCCGUUAACUCUCCGUUAAAUCAUAUAUAGAAAACUUCAGAUACUCCACCUAUAGUUUACUGAACAUUCACUUUAGUACUCCGUAGUUUAUCGAAACUAUAUGGUACUAAAGUAACAUAAUUUAAACCACGGGGUACUAAUGUGAGAAAGCGCGAAACCACAGGGUUGGUAUUUGAAGUUUGUCCAUUAUUUUUUUGCUUUUGUUAGAAUCAUGGAGUUUUGAGUUCCUCUAUAAUCAACAUUAAUCUUUUAAACUCCGGAUUUUUAAUAUACUUCGUAAGAAUUUGAUUGAGUCCAAGUUCCAGGUGAUGAUGUCCACAUAUUAAUGAAUUGCUAGACCAGGUCUAGGGGACAGCAUUUCCACACCAAAUUAAAGAGCACACUUUUCAAAUUUAGUGGUGCAUGAUUUGGACUUUUGAUUCAACAACACAAAACUGAUUUUUCAGGUAGCAAAAGUGCUUCAAAUAGUACUACUGCAACUGCAUGCUGUUCAGCUUCAGCAGUAACUGCACUCCCUCUUCUUCUUCUUUUUUUCUUCUUUUUUUAAAUUUUUUUUUUUCUUUCUCUUUGUCAUCUUCUCUCUGUCUACAUUCAAGAGAAUCUAAAUUGGAUAUAUGUUGUUUUCAUUAGUCCCAAUGUAUACUACUUAUCUAAAUUAUGAGCAAUUUUAGAUCUACUAAUCAAUCUUUCAGUUUGCUUGAUUUGAAUCGGUUAAUGACAUUUUGACUUUAGCGCAAGUGGCAAAGAAUUUGAUGACUGAUACUCGAGGUUCCAAAUUUAAAGCCUAGUUGCUUCAUAUUUUCAGUUAAGAUUAUUUCUAAAAAAAAAUAAACGAAACAGGUAACAUGCUACAUUUCUCUCAAAAAGAAAAAAAUAAAUGCAUCGUUUAUCUUUACGUGUAUAGGUAGUACGCUUCAUGAAUUUUUGAAACUAUAAAAUCAUUAAAAUAAAAAAUAUAUAUAUAGCUUAAAUUAUGAAGGCAAAGUGUUUUUAAUUUACUCAAAUCAAACAAAUUGCAAUGUUAGGUAGUGAAAAUAAAAAUUUUAAAAGAUUGAGUAGCAAAUUCAAAAUGGUUUAUAGUUCAGAUAAAUUAUAUAUAUUUUUACUUUUUUUAUUAUAUACAGACCAAAUUAAUUGAGUCUAAUUAAAUUUUGUUAGUAAAUAAUGAUUGGAUUUGAUAGAUAGAUUUGGGUCAAAAUGUUGUUAGAUAUGUUCUAUGUUUGGGCUUUCAUAGUGUGAAGGUUUUCAAGAGUAGUCGUAAUACCACUGUUUAUGUUCAUGAUAGAUAUCAGAUGAACUAUGUCACAUGUACGAACAAAAAAAAAGUAAUGAAACAAAAUAACUAGUAUGAAACAGGUGUGAAAAUUAAGCUCAAAACAUCUUAAUUGACCUGGAGUAGGGGUAAAUGUGGUUAGGAUAAAUUCCGAUUGAAUUGAACAUCGGAUUCGAUAGGAUGCGAAUAUGGAUAUCAAACCGAAUUAUCGAACCGAACAAACUUAAAUUAGUAGAUUCCGUUCAAAUUUUACAUAUAAUUUGGUUCGGUUCAGUUCUAAAACUAAAAAUUAGAAAAACCGAAUAAAAUCAUUAGUCUUAACCUUUAAAAAAUAAUGUAUUAGUUUUAAAUAAUAAUCAAAAAACUAGAGAUAUUAAUUAUGAUUGACUUAGAUUAAUAAUUUUUAACAUCAAUUAUGAUUAUAUAUUUUAUUUAGUAGUUUCAAAAGAAUUAAAUCGAAUAAAAAUAUUUUGUUAAAGCCAAAUAAACCGAACCAAACCCACCGAAUUAUUUUGGCUUGGUUCGUUCAGCUCAUGUACCGUUGAUUUGGAUCGGUUCGGUUUUUUUUUUGAAAAAUCUAUAAAAAUCAAACUAAAGCAAACCAAACCAAUCAAUAAUUAGCCAAGUGCAAGAUGAUUGGUAUCUGAGAUCUUAAAUUUUAAAUCUAAUUGCUUCAUAUUUUUAACUGAAUUAUUCCAAAAAAUAAAUAAAAUUGGUAGCUUUUUCUCGAUCUCUUUCUCCAAAUUUUGGAUUUGGAUAAAAAAUUAGGUAUCUAUACCCAUAGACAUCCUAGUAGAGCUACCAAAUACUCUAUAUCAUAUGAGCUUGUUAUACGUAGACAUGAUAAUUUGUACUUGUGAAUGCGUCAAAAUUUGUGCAAGACUUUGCUUUUUUCGACAAAUAAUAACUAUCACAGCUCACAAUAUAUUCCACCCAAAAAAUAUAAACAAAAAGUUAUAACUUAUAUUCCUUAAUCUUUUGUUAGGUACUUAUAAUAUAGUUUUUUAUGGGUAAAUUGCAGGGGGGUCCUCAAACUAUGAGGGUUGUGACACCUUGUUCUUUAAACUUUAAUUUAUUAUAAUUUUUUACUUAAGUUUUCAAACUUAUUACAAUCAUAUCUUAUAGCCAAUUUAGUUUACUAAAUAUUAAUGUAUUACUGUUAUGAAAGUGGUGUAGAGUGUCAUGAUUGGCGAUGCACCCGUAAUUAAGAUGAUACAGUACUUUUACAAUCAGGAAUGCGUCAAUAUUUAAUCAAUGUUUUAAAAGUUGGGUUGAGCAACGACUCCAAAAUAUUACUGAGUCAAGGAUCACUGGUUUAAUCGGUAGGUCAACCACACGCUGAACUAGUA
rnacentral:lncRNA from 1 species